GGAUGUGAGGGUGAUCACCAGGGUUGAUUCAGCUAAUCUGGAUGGCCAGGCAGGUGUCCCCUUCCACCCUCUCUGCUCCAUGUGUGUCCCUCCCGAAGCUGUGCUCUUAGUCAAAGAGGACGGCCUUCCCCAAUAGAGACAGACCUUCUUCAGUCCAGGGUAUAUGAGUAGCUGCGCUUUCCAGCUAGAACCUCCAAAGGAGGUCUCAAGAACUCCCUAGGGGCCAGGCAAAGCACCUGGUUAAGUGUACACAUUACAAUG
rnacentral:snRNA from 1 species